UCUCCGUAGGUGAACCUGCGGAGGGAUCAUUACCAGAGAUUGCGGGCCUCCGUGCCCCCGUCCCCAACCCAUUGUUGACCAAAACCUUUUUGCCGCGGGGGCAGAGCGUCCGCCGCCGCCCCCGGAGGACCACCGAACGCUGUCUCUAUACGUCGGAGUAUUGAUUAAAUGAAUGAAAACUUUCAACAACGGAUCUCUUGGUUCUG
rnacentral:misc_RNA from 1 species